CACAGUUUAACAAUUGAAAAUAGACUCAUAACAGACCCCCCUUCUUAGGAAACCUUGUCCUCAAGAUUAUGAAAUCGCCUCCUUAUGGUGUCUAGGUCUUCUCAGGUAGCAUCUUCCUCGUUGGCCCCAGGCCAUUGUACCAAGACCUGAACUCCGGCAACGUUUUCCUUUCUUUUCAGCCUCUUUUGCAAGAUUCUCUCAGGUUCGAGUUCCAAGGAGCCUUCAGACGUGAUGAGCGAUAGGUGUGCACAAGCUUGUAUUCCUUCUCCUAGCUUUCUCUUGAGGCACAAAAUAUGAAACAAAGGAUAGAUCUUAGCUUCAGGAGGUAGAUCGAGCUCAUAUGCGACUUGACCCACCCUUCAAAUCACUCUAAAAGGCUGAAAAUAUCUCGGUACAAUCUUCAAGUUCCUUCGCAAUGCUACUGUCAUUUGUUGAUACAGCCGUAACUUGAGGUAAACCAAGUCUCCAAUUUCAAACUCUUAGUACCUCCUUGUUUUAUCAGCAAAAUAUUUCAUCUUUGAUUAGGCUUCCUGCAGGUUCUCCUUGAUGAGUUUAGCAAUAAACUCUCGUGUUCGAAGUUCUUUAUCAAUACCUUUCACUUUAGUGGAUCCUACCUCAUAUGGUAACAUUCGAGGUGGUAGCUGACCAUAAAUAGCUUCAAAAGGUGUUACCUUCAUGGAUGUAUGUACUGAGGUAUUAUAGGAAUACUCAGCUAAAGGUAACCACUUUGCCCAAUCUUUCGAUUUGUCACUUGAAAAACAUUGGAGGUAGCAUUCAAGCACUUUAUUCAUGGCCUUUGUUUGGCCAUCCGUUCGAGGAUGAUAGGCUGUGCUAAGUAAUAAAUCUAUUCCACAUAACCUUAAUAGUUCCUUCCAAAAAUUGCUUGUAAACACAGGAUCUCGAUCACUAAAAAUUGUUUGUGGUAGCCCGUGUAAUUUGAAAACAUUAUCCAUAAAAACUCUAGCCACCGUUAGUGCUGUGUAUGGAUGAUUAAUAGGCAUAAAAUGAGAAUACUUACUUAGCCUAUCCACCACCACAAGGGUCAUUGUCUUUUCUCCUGAGGGGGGUAGACCCUCAAUGAAAUCUAUGCUGAUAUCUUCCUAGUUUUUGCUAGGUAUCGGUAAAGGCUGAAGCAACCCCAUAGGGUGGAGGGCUUUUACUUUAUUCCUCUAGUAUACAUCACAUGCCUUGACAUGUGUUAUGACAUCAUUUUGCAAACCAGGCCAAUAAAAUUCCUUUUUUGUUAUUGUGUGGGUCUUUAAUACACUUGUGUGGCCCCCUAAUGGACUGACGUGGAACUAGUGCAGGAUUUGCUGCUGGAAGGGAACCAAUGAUCGAGAUGUAGUCUAUUCUCGUAAAAGAGUAACUCAUUUCAGAGUUGGUAAUGAGUUAGGUCCAAUUCUCCAUGAUGGUAGUGGCUUAUCAACUUCUGCAACAUGGGGUCCUGAAGGUAAGCCUUCUUCAACUCUUCUAUCCACUGAGCUUGUAAAAUGCUGAUGGCUUGGUUUUGGAUAAUUCGAUUUUUUUUGUGUGGUUUGGUUUGUGGUUGGGAUUAGUAUUUGGUCUCUGUUUGGGUCUUGGGGUUCUAAGUAUUGCACCCGAGAUAAGGCAUCAGCUGCUGCAUUACUCUUGCCACUUCUAUAUUCCACCAUGAAGUCAUACCCAAGCAAUUUAAAGACCUAUUUUUGUUGUGAGAGGGUCCCUACCCUUUGUUUCAGCAAGUAUUCGAGUGCCUUCUGGUCAGUAUGUACCUUGAAGGACUGUCCCAACAGGUAGUGUCUCUAUUUCCUCACUGCCAUCACUAGUGCCAAUAAUUCCUUUUCAUAAGUGGAAAGGUUCAGAUUCCACCCUUUUAAAGACUGGCUAAAAUAUGCUAUUGGUUGCCCCUCUUGCAUUAAAACAGCUCCCAAUGCUUCCCCUGAUGCAUCACAUUCCACUACAAAAGUUUUAAUAAAAUUAGGUAAGCUGAGCAUUGGUGGCCUUACCAUCGCCUCCUUAAGUCUCUCAAAUGCUCCCUGUGCUUGAUCAUUCCAAGAAAAAGAGUUUUUCUUUACAAAAGCUGUUAGUGGGGCUGUUAUUGCUCCAUACCCCUUGACAAAUUUCUUGUAAUAUCCUGUGAGUCCUAAAAAACCUCUUAGUGCCUUAAGGUUCUUAGGAGUUGGCCAUUCUUGUAUUGCAACCAGCUUUUGAGGACCUAAUUUAACUCCUUCCUUUGAGAUAAUGUGUCCCAAGUACUCCACCUCUUUAAUUCCAAAAACACACUUUGACAGCUUUGCAAAAAACUUGUUAGCUUAUAAUAACUCCAAGACUCUUGUGUUAUGUUGUACAUGCUCCUGCAUAGACUUGCUAUAGACUAAGAUAUCAUAAAAAAACAUGAGCAAAAACUUCCUCAAAUAGGGUCUAAAUACUUCAUUCAUCACCCCUUGAAAUGUAGAUGGUGCAUUAGUAAGCACAAAGGGCAUUACUAAAAACUCAUAAUGCCCCUUAUGUGUCUGGAAGGCAGUUUUGGGGAUGUCAUCAGGAUUCAUGCGUAUCUGAUGAUAUCUUGAUUUCAAAUCUAAUUUAGAAAACACAUCAACUCCCCCUAGCUCAUCAAGCAACUCAUCAAUGUUUGGAAUAGGAUACUUAUCUUUUAUGGUCUCCUUGUUGAGUGCACGAUAAUCCACACACAUUUGCCAACUCCCAUAAGCUUUUCUCACAAGUAGCACCGGAGAAGAAUAUAGACUUUGACUGCUUCUUAUGCUGCCAUUCUUUAGUAACUCAGCUACCAGCUUCUCUAUCUCUUCCUUUUGGUAAUAAGGGUAGUUGUAGGGCCUAACACAAAUGGGUUUAGUUCCUUCCAAUACUUUAAUUUUGUGAUCAAAAUUCCUGGGAGGUGGCAACCCAAUAGGCUCGGCAAAGACCUUUUUAGAAUUGUCCAGAAUUUUCUGUACCUUUGUUGGUUGUGUUAUUCUGCCUUUACCAUUAUUACCAUCCAUGAUUUGCAACCAAAUUUCUCUCACCGAUCCCUCCAUAGGUUCAACAGUAGGAUCUUCCUCCACAAUAUUGUUCACUAGUCUCUGAAUCCCCUGC
rnacentral:lncRNA from 1 species